rnacentral:tRNA from 2 species
GCCGGAGUGGCGGAAUGGCAGACGCGAUGGAUUCAAAAUCCAUUUCCCGCAAGGGAGUGUGGGUUCAAGUCCCUCCUCCGGCA